rnacentral:rRNA from 1 species
UACGUAGGUGGCAAGCGUUGUCCGGAAUCAUUGGGCGUAAAGAGCGUGUAGGCGGCCCGAUAAGUCCGCUGUGAAAGUCCAGGGCUCAACCCUGGGAUGCCGGUGGAUACUGUCGGGCUCGAGUCCGGAAGAGGAGUGUGGAAUUCCUGGUGUAGCGGUGAAAUGCGCAGAUAUCAGGAGGAACACCAAUGGCGAAGGCAGCACUCUGGGACGUGACUGACGCUGGGACGCGAAAGCGUGGGGAGCAAACAGG